GUGGACCUAACCUGUUUUCGCCAUGUAAACGGAUAACUCAGCUCCAGCACCGCCCCUAACCACGCCCAGCUAGUUUAUAGCCCCUCCCAUCCAGUUACAUAGACACUCCCCUAACAAGGCCUCCAAGUUUCCAGCUCCUCCCACCUAAUUGCAUAGUCACUGCUUAGAUACGCUAUGGACAUAACAUCACAAGAAAGAGCCAAAUGGACAUGGUCAUGUGACCCCAGCCCAGAACGGGAGAUAAGAGCAAUAAAGGAACUGGGAGGACCUCUGCCUGCACUGCCGACUGAGGUAAUAGGCGAAAACAGAAACUGAGUGUGACUCCUGUCAUCUAAGGGGAGAACACGACGAGCAGUCCGUUUCCUAAGAACUCACAGACGAUGACAAGAAAACCACAGUGUUUUUCGGAAAUCCCGUUUGUGUCAUGAUUAUGUUUUAUCUCAAAAGUAAAGCAGCACUCCGCUGGAAAAAAAGCAUUACAGUAUUGUUUAUUGUAAUAAUGAUUAUUAUUUAU